rnacentral:rRNA from 1 species
GUCCACGCCCUAAACGAUGUCAACUAGCCGUUGGGUUCAUUUAAGAAUUUAGUGGCGCAGCUAACGCGAUAAGUUGACCGCCUGGGGAGUACGGCCGCAAGGUUAAAACUCAAAGGAAUUGACGGGGGCCCCGCACAAGCGGUGGAGCAUGUGGUUUAAUUCGAUGCAACGCGAAGAACCUUACCAGGUCUUGACAUCCACGGAACUUUCCAGAGAUGGAUUGGUGCCUUCGGGAACCGUGAGACAGGUGCUGCAUGGCUGUCGU